GAAGAAGAAGAAGAAGAAGCAGCAUGUUAUGUCUUUGCAAAAGUACAAAUCAUUUUGAUACGAAUCAGUGUUAUCUGCUUUACUGAGAAGGUGUUUAGUUUUUGCAGACUGUUGCCACAUUGAUAAAGAUAGCUUUACCAGAAUAUGAUAAAGAUGCAAUAUGGGAUCUAUUUUGGAAGUAUAUUUGUUGUUUAGAUUUAUUUUAAAAACACGGGAAAGUUAGCUUGGUUAUUCAGAUUUGCUUGAGGACUCUGUCACCUUAGUUUUUGGAGGUUGCUUCCAGGAUUGAUUUGGGAUAAUAUUGCAUUGUUGAACAUGAAAAAAUUACUAAGGGUUUUUUUGG
rnacentral:misc_RNA from 1 species